UAGGUGUUGAGUUCACCUCGUGUCCUCUGUAUUUGUUCUUUGGGCAGGUCAGCAAUUACUAAUUCGUCUACAUUAACCCACCCAUCGCAUGCCGCACACAAAUUUCUUGGGACUUCAGUUCGAGCAUGCUUGUAGAAAUGUGCUGAACACUCUCAGUGCCAUUUGCAAUAUCAAGAUCUGCAAAUAACAGCGUUGUAAUGAAUGAGCCACGGUCACUGACCCUACUUUCACUGUCGCCCGUAAUUCAACUACAUCUUUGCCUUGCCGCUCACACAGCGACUGCACCCACUGUGUCGACACGGGCUUCCUGCCUCGAUGCACCAGCCUUGUAUCGAAGCCCUUCGACAACCUCCUCCUGCUGUAGCAAACGGGAAAACCACACGUUUCCGCUGAGGCAAGUUGGAUCCACAUACGCAGCUGCGGCGCAGGCUGUCUAGACUCUCGCGUGCAUACGUCGCGGCGCCAAAACAAUCGCGCGACGCCUCAUUCACCAGUGCGAGCGCUGUUUGUGGCUUUAGUUCCCUCUGCUUUCACUGGGCCUGACCUUGCUAUCCAUGCGAAAAAAGAAGGCAGGCGCGUCUGUGCCAUACGCUUCCACACUUUCUGAGGCUUGAAGACAGGCAUUCGGCCCCGAGUGCAACCGUUCAUCUACACUGCGUUGGAAAUGCCGGACGGCCAGGGUUUAGGUUCCAGUGGACAGCACAUAUCCUACGCUCCGGUUGUGGUUGGUUCCGAUGACAGAGAACUUGUGGCGAUCAGCAAGGAUGAGACGACCGAAACCGAUAAACUGUCGCAGGGCGUCGAUGGAGUGGACUUCACUGGCACGUACUCACCGGUUGACAAGAAGAAAAGCAUUCUGGAAAGACACAAGAGGAAAAUUUGUCUCCUUCCCAUGAUCCACACUCAGUUCUGGGUGGCUGCAGCGUAUUCACUUUUGGCGCCACUUUUUCCGGCUCUGGCUGUUUCCAGAGGUCUUGAGGCCUGGGAGUAUGGAUUUGCUUUUUCUUUGGGAAAGAUAACCACAUUAAUAGGGUCAGCAUGGGCAAAAAAACUGAUACAGCAGACAUCUCCAAAAUCUGUAUAUCUUAUUGGACAAGUGGGAUACUUCCUGGCAAACGCGGUGUAUGGUGCCUUGUACUGGAUUCCUGGAGACUACAUGAUGUUAGGUGUUGCUUUGUUCGGAGGUGCAUUAGGUGGGUUGAGCGAAUCUCUUUACUGCGUCGCUAGUUAUGCAACAGCCACCGUUGUACUGGCGGACCACCUUGGCUUUGCUGUCGCUGGGAUGCAAGUCCUGUGGGGAUUAGGCGGAGCAACGGGUGCCACACUUGGAGGCGCAAUUGCAGACCUCUGGGGAUAUCCUGCGUCAUUCUUCGUGAUGUCAUCGGGGUUUAUGCUGUCCUCUCCUUUUAUUGCGAAGUCACGGAUCUUCCGAAGAAACCGAAAACCUGCAGCUGGGGAUCCACACGCAAAUGGCGAGAAUACCUGUGGGGAAACCAAUAUGAAGCAUUAUUGGCUGCUUCGGGAUGCUAGGUUCAUUUCUUAUUUGUUCAACUUAUUCCUCAAUGGGCUAAUAUUUGGAUUCCUCGAGCCAACAUUAGAGCCUUAUCUAAAUCAGUUUCAUCACAGUAAUUCAGGCAUUGGCAGUGUCUUCAGCGUAUACGCCCUGACUUUCUGCGUUGCUUCUGCUGUGUGUGGUUUUAUCUGCCACUGUAAGGCUGAGAUCCGUUGCCUGCCGCUCGCCCAUCUGUUCAACAUAACGGGCUUCAUCGUGAUAGGCCCAGCGCCGUUCCUGCCAUUUCAACCCACCAUGAACCUUAUUUACGUUUCCCAAGUGCUGCUGGGUGCAGGAGUCGCAUCGAUGCACGCGCUUUCAUACUCAACUGCAAUCAAGCGCGCAAUCGCUAAAGGUUACAAAGAAGACAUUGACACAAGUAGCUUCGUGUGUGGUGCAAUAUUUGCCGCAUACGUCAUAGGGGCAACUCUGAGUCCACCUAUCAGUGGCUAUGUCGUUGAAGCGUUGGGAUUCCGAGCCGGCUCCAUGAUAAUUUUUGGAGUGCUGGUUGGCUGGAUGAUUGCACUGUUACUACUCCAGAAGAAUUCAAGGAGUGCACACUGACCUAACUGGCACGUAUCGCACUGGUCAGAACGCAUAAAGUACAAUAUGUCGCUGCCCGACAGUUGCCUGCAGAAUGCUGCGCUGCACAACGGGAACAUAUCGUAGACUUUCCACAGAUCACAUCACCAAAUUUCUGCCGUCUUCUGCACUGAAGUGGCUUGGGACUAAAGGGCCGGACAGCAUGUAGGAAAUGACCUACUUCGACAUGCGACGGAAGACAGUCACCCUAUGAAGAGGAUUUUUACACAUUGGAAAUUUCCGAGACGGGCCACCUGGAGUAUUUCGGUCCCAUUUUCGGUAAUCUUAAUCAAAAGUGGCAGAUCGUCGCUUGAGAUGGCCGCA
rnacentral:misc_RNA from 1 species